rnacentral:lncRNA from 1 species
CAAGAGUGUAGCACAGACAGCCACGAGGACAUCCAGGUUUUUGAGAAGGGAGAAUCAAAUGCUGCACAUUACCUGCUCCAUGCUGCCCACUGAUGGAUCACACUCACGUCAGACAUGGAUAAUCUCUCUGAAGCUGCCUUCACCCAUCUUGUUUUGGUGCUUCAAGGCUCAUGCCAGAGGAUUGACAUCAUUUGUGGUCCUGAUUCAUCUGUCAAAGAGCUUCAGUGCAGCAGUGGAGUGCCCAGGGUCACCUCUGCAGCAAAGGAAUUACAGGAGAUGGAGCUAAUUGGGAAGGUAAAGCCCUUCUAGUGGCUAUGGCAAGGAACAGGACAUGGGUCUAGUCACUGCAGACAACAAGGAAUCACUUCAGCCUGUGCUAAAGGAGAUGAAUAAAGAUAUGCCACCCUGACCGUCA